rnacentral:rRNA from 1 species
CAUAGGUUAAUGAGGCGAACCGGGGGAACUGAAACAUCUAAGUACCCCGAGGAAAAGAAAUCAACCGAGAUUCCCCCAGUAGCGGCGAGCGAACGGGGAGCAGCCCAGAGCCUGAAUCAGUAUGUGUGUUAGUGGAAGCGUCUGGAAAGGCGCGCGAUACAGGGUGACAGCCCCGUACACAAAAAUGCACAUGCUGUGAGCUCGAUGAGUAGGGCGGGACACGUGGUAUCCUGUCUGAAUAUGGGGGGACCAUCCUCCAAGGCUAAAUACUCCUGACUGACCGAUAGUGAACCAGUACCGUGAGGGAAAGGCGAAAAGAACCCCGGCGAGGGGAGUGAAAAAGAACCUGAAACCGUGUACGUACAAGCAGUGGGAGCACAGAGCAAUCUGUGUGACUGCGUACCUUUUGUAUAAUGGGUCAGCGACUUAUAUUCUGUAGCAAGGUUAACCGAAUAGGGGAGCCGAAGGGAAACCGAGUCUUAACUGGGCGUUAAGUUGCAGGGUAUAGACCCGAAACCCGGUGAUCUAGCCAUGGGCAGGUUGAAGGUUGGGUAACACUAACUGGAGGACCGAACCGACUAAUGUUGAAAAAUUAGCGGAUGACUUGUGGCUGGGGGUGAAAGGCCAAUCAAACCGGGAGAUAGCUGGUUCUCCCCGAAAGCUAUUUAGGUAGCGCCUCGUGAAUUCAUCUCCGGGGGUAGAGCACUGUUUCGGCAAGGGGGUCAUCCCGACUUACCAACCCGAUGCAAACUGCGAAUACCGGAGAAUGUUAUCACGGGAGACACACGGCGGGUGCUAACGUCCGUCGUGAAGAGGGAAACAACCCAGACCGCCAGCUAAGGUCCCAAAGUCAUGGUUAAGUGGGAAACGAUGUGGGAAGGCCCAGACAGCCAGGAUGUUGGCUUAGAAGCAGCCAUCAUUUAAAGAAAGCGUAAUAGCUCACUGGUCGAGUCGGCCUGCGCGGAAGAUGUAACGGGGCUAAACCAUGCAC